UGGUGGAGUGAUUUGUCUGGUUAAUUCCGUUAACGAACGAGACCUCCGCGUGCUAAAUAGUCUCGCUUACCUUUUUGGUAGGUUUUGAGACUUCUUAGAGGGACUUUUGGGUAAUCAAACCAAAGGAAGUUGGAGGCAAUAACA
rnacentral:rRNA from 1 species